GCCAUCAUCCCACUGCCCGUUUCUACUUCACACACUCUGGGUCCAAAUAACAUCACACAAGCAAGAUGGCCGCUCCCGGAAAAGAGAUAUUUUGGCUUCACUUUUGCGUAGCGGCAGGAAGUGGAGACAUGUCGUCCGUAUUAUCAUACCACACUGGUCCUGCUGCUAGUACGAGGAGGAUAAAAUGCCCUCAAAUUGGGAUGAGUAUUUUCUAGUUAGAAAGUACAUUAUUAACGUUAAUGUGUGAUAAUGAUAACAUUUAAAGCUGGCAUAAAUAUGUCAUUCAUUUUAGAAUUCUUUUAAUCAGACAGUGGAUAUGUCCAUGAUGUAUUGUUGGAGUUAUCUGGUUAAUUCAAAUGCAGCACAGUCCACAGCAACAAAUAAGUGCUUAAAAGAUGGUCAGCUGAUCACACAGCCCAUCCACAAAGAAAACAAGCCCACCAGAGUUCACACUACAAAUCAGAUCUUAGGUUUCCUCCACCUGCCAAAUCCCACUUUAAUGUAAUGCAUGUAAUUGAUUAUAUUUCAUUUCAAUAUCCUGAAACCUCUGACAAUAGGGUGCUUAUUGGUGAAACAUCAUCAAAAUUUCUCAUGUCACAUAAAAUCUGACUGCUCUCACCUGUAGUAGUAUUAGUAUUAUCCUGUAGGUUAGGUUAAGACUUUUCUCUGAAAUUUUCCACUUUAAUUUUGAAAUAUUAUGAUUUUAUUCAAGAAAUCUCCAAAUUUUUUGCUGUCUGCAUUCUGACCAUAAUACUGUUGUACAUUCUCUGUUAAGGAAAAAUCUGACUUUUCAGAGCUCCCUUUCAAUCCUACAGGUGGUGAGUAUGUUAUACUCUGAAGAUAGAUUUUGGAAUAUUUGUACUCCUUUGAUGCUCGAUAUCUCAGGUGCUGCUCGGUGUUUGUUCUUCCAAAAUACCUCUGCUGAAGCUUUACCUCACCUCACAUGCUCCAUGUGUUCUAUGCUUAGAUACUGUAUGUGUCUGUGUGUGUGUGUGUGUGUGUGUUUUAGUGGGUGUGGUAGCUUGUUUGAAGUUCUUGCUUGUUGUGUCUGUGUGUGGUGAGACAGACUGACGGACAGACAGACAGGGAUGGACGGAUAGACUGCGACAGGCCAAACAACAGAAGAAAAGACUGCUCCUCCUCCUUGUCGCUGACUGUCUUUCAUCUGUGGGAGAGACAGACAACCCUUCUCUCUGUGCCUUUAUGUCUCUCUACUGUCUCUCUUCAUUGAUGCUCUUGUUUCUUUACUUAGUUAUGACUAGGUCUGUACUGUACAUCAGUUUGCCUUAGAAUGCCCUUUUACUAAACAUCAGGUAUCAGCCAAUCACAGCCCUCCACCUUCAGGAUGAUAUGAUGUUUUACCUGCCCACAAGAGGUCAAUAUGUUUUUAUCACGUGUGUACAUGUGUGUAAAGUCCAUGUCACACUUUAAAAGACAAGGUUUUGAUUAUUUCAGUUAACUCAUAAUUUGUCAAAUUACAUAACAUAUAUGUGAUAUGAUGACAUAAUUAUUAAUUAUAAUUAUAUAACUGUAAAAUGUUAUCAUUUUAAUUUACACUCUAUCAGAUUAGAUUCCAUCCAUUUUAUGGAUGCAAGCUGUGAAGUUGUGAGGUGAACAAAAUAUUAGAAACACCUUUUUAUAUAAUACAGCCCACUGCAACAUUAUCACUACAAAGUACAAUCUCAAAAAUGUCCAUAUAACCAAGUAAACACAUACAACUGAACAUAAGUAACGAGUAUUUAUUUUAGUUUAAUUUGCAUUCUAUCACAUUUGUUUUUUUCACUCCCUUUUUACUAACUGCAAGUAUUAGAAAUUAAAGCGGACAAUACGGCAGAAAAAACAACAUAAUUCUUUCUAGUGGCUUUUCUUUCUUCAUUAUAUCCCUGUGUAACCGAAAUUCUGAUCAUACAAUGCAUUAACUAGUUAUCAGAAAUCAUCGUUACGUUGUUUUAGUCAACUGUUGGGUCAGUGUUAAAACAAUGUUGAAAGAUACUUCCACAGACACAGUAGAGGGAGGGAGACAGAGAGAUAGAUGUGGGGGAAAUGACAGGUUCCCCCAACCCACAUUUGGCCGAGCAGCUAACUGGACUGGGCUGAUCACCACAGUACAGCCCUCUGUGUGUGUGUGUGUGUGUGUGUGUGUGUGUGUGUGUGUGUGUGUGUGCAUGUUUUUGUUGCAAGACCCAAAUUGUAUAGCGGUUCACUGGGAAAGCUCCCGGCACUCCAGAUGGCCAGUCGCUUUUGAGUCUGCUGGUAUGGCUUGUAUGAGGUCACUCUCUUGACCAAUGAUCUGUGCAGGUUUCAGCUGUUGACUGGCAGCACUGUCAGUGUUUAGAAUAACUAUUAUAAUAUUAUAAUAGUUAGUUUUUCUAACAAAGAAACCCUAAAGGCAUUUUAUUAGGCUUUAAUGGGUAAUAAUAUUAAAAAUAAUAUGAAAAUGAGGCUAUUUCUCAUUUUGCAGAGGAACCCUUGGUCAUACUAUUCCAAUUUACAGAGGUUAGACCACAGUUAAAAUCAGCCAAUUAGGAUGGACUGCUGAAUUGUAAGAUAUAUGUAGCUUCCAUAACUGCACCAUAAACAACAAGGUAUAAACUGAUUUUAUGUUUCAAUAUGACAUACAGUAUAACAAAACACAAAAUGAGCUUCAAAAGGAAAAUGAUUAUGUACCUUUUGGUGUAUACUGAUGGGGUUUUUUUGUUUUGUUUUGUUUGUUUGUUUUCUGUUAAAUACUGUAUAUAUCACAGAGAAAUAAUCAGGUCAGUGUUCUUGUGAAGUAGAUCCAAAGAUUUGACAUUUUUGGAGGAUCUUAUGUGAAAAUAUGAAAGAAUAUUAAACUACAUGUUUUACAUAUUUUUGUCAAUAUUUCAUUUGACAGAAGCCAGGUUUACAAAUUCCUCUGAUAUGAUCCAUUGUUGAUGUUGCAUGUGAUAUAUGUGAAAAUAUUUUUCUGUUCACAAAGUUCUCUUACAUACAAAGUCACACAUAAAAAAGUGUUAAUUCCAAUAAGUUAAUGAGAUAAAUGUCAACAUUUAAUGUGAUAUGUAUUAUAUAUAUAUAUAUCUGUUAUUGAGUGCUGACUCAUUUCACAGGAAAGAAAACUAAAACGGUAUGUAAGUAUCUGAAAAUAUGAGUGAUUUUUAUUAACAUAAUUGGUUAUUAGCAAAUGAUGAUCAGUAACUGGAGGACAUAAUUUGCCCUCCCUUUAUCCACCACUGCUUCACUGCCUCUUCGCUGACUGGGAGAACUGGGUUGGAACUGUAGGAGCAAAGCUACUGUGCCACCUAGCUUCAGAAAAUGCUGCUGUUUUUCAGGCCACACAGACUUUACAGUUCAACAGCGUGUUUCCACUGUAGCUGUUCACUGGAGAGAAUAAAGAGUUGUGCUAUUUC